UUUUGUUACAGGAUAGGGGAGGUUAUUUUCAGCUAUUGCAUUUAUAUCUAUUGUAAUAGAAAAAAAUUACAGAACUUAUGGAUGACAUUCGUGAGAAUGUCUCUGUGUUGACACUGCUUGCUGAGGUCUUGUGCUUGCUGGAUAUGAUUGUAAAUUCAUUUGCUCAUAUGAUAUCAACUAAGCCUGUUGAUCGAUAUACAAGACCAGAAUUUACAGGCUAUUAAUCAUAUUAAGAGGAAGUAUGAGUUGGAGAAUAUGGAAAUUGUGAACAAGGAAAAAGAAAAGGCUGACAAAGCCAUUGCAGAAAUUGAGGCAAAGUGUGGCCAAAAAAUUGAAGAAUGCAAAGAAGAACAAAGGCAGCAGUUGAUGCGCAUUGAAGAUGAACACACGUUGCUCGUAAGCAUAGAAAAAGUCUUGAAUUUGAAAUUAUUGGCUGCUUAGAAAUAUUCUAUCAUUGCAUUCUAUUACAUGGGAUCAUAAGUGUUCUGAUUUGUCUUUAGUUAUAUUUUUAAUUACUUAAUGUUCUAAUUAAUUGAAAAAACCAUUUUUUUAAAUAAAGUUACUUUCUGAUUAGUAUUUGUUAGAGAUGCAAUAUAAAGUCAUUCAUGUAUCGUUACCUAGCAGCUUGAGCUUUUUGGAUAGUUUGUUAAUGACAUGGUACGAAAUUCUCUAUGACUAUGUGGUCUAGAGAUCAAAGCAUUGAGGUGUGAACUUGAAGAUGAGUGUCAGAAGCUGGAAGAGGAGUUGCAUCUUCAAAAAUCCAAAGAAGACAGGCAAAGGGCUUUGUUGCAGUUGCAGUUGAAAGUGAUGAGUGACAAGCCCAAAGAGGACCAAGAAGUGAAUUCAAAACAGA